UACGAAGGGGGCGAGCGUUGUUCGGAAUUACUGGGCGUAAAGAGCGCGCAGGCGGUCAGAUAAGUCGAAUGUGAAAGCCCCCGGCUCAACUGGGGAGGGUCAUUCGAUACUGUUCGACUCGAAGGCAGGAGAGGGAAGUGGAAUUCCCGGUGUAGUGGUGAAAUGCGUAGAUAUCGGGAGGAACACCAGUGGCGAAGGCGACUUCCUGGCCUGUUCUUGACGCUGAGGAGCGAAAGCCAGGGGAGCAAACGGG
rnacentral:rRNA from 1 species